rnacentral:rRNA from 1 species
CCUACGGGGCGCUGCAGUAGGGAAUAUUGCUCAAUGGGGGAAACCCUGAAGCAGCAACGCCGCGUGGAGGAUGAAGGUUUUCGGAUUGUAAACUCCUUUUGUUAGAGAAGAUAAUGACGGUAUCUAACGAAUAAGCAACGGAUAACUCCGUUCCAGCAGCCGCGGUAAUACGGAGGGUGCAAGCGUUACUCGGAAUAACUGGGCGUAAAGGGCGCGUAGGCGGGUUAGCAAGUCAGAUGUGAAAUCCUAUGGCUUAACCAUAGAACUGCAUUUGAUACUGUUAGUCUAGAGUAUAGGAGAGGUAGGUGGAAUUCGUGGUGUAGGGGUAAAAUCCGUAGAGAUCAAGAGGAAUACUCAUUGCGAAGGCGACCUGCUAGACCAUAACUGACGCUGAUGCGCGAAAGCGUGGGGAGCAAACAGGAUUAGAUACCCGGGUAGUC